rnacentral:rRNA from 1 species
UACGGAGGGUGCAAGCGUUAUCCGGAUUUACUGGGUUUAAAGGGUGCGUAGGCGGGCUAAUAAGUCAGUGGUGAAAGCCUGUAGCUUAACUACAGAACUGCCAUUGAAACUGUUGGCCUUGAGUAUAGAUGAAGUGGGCGGAAUGUAGCGUGUAGCGGUGAAAUGCUUAGAUAUGCUACAGAACACCAAUUGCGAAGGCAGCUUGCUAAACUAUCACUGACGCUGAGGCACGAAAGCGUGGGGAGCGAAC